GAUGAACGCUAGCGGCAGGCUUAACACAUGCAAGUCGAGGGGCAGCAGGUCUUCGGACGCUGGCGACCGGCAAACGGGUGCGGAACACGUACGCAACAUACCCACUACAGGGGGAUAGCCCGGAGAAAUCCGGAUUAACACCCCAUAGUAUAACUGGAAGGCAUCUUUUGGUUAUUAAAAAUUUAUUGGUAGUGGAUUGGCGUGCGUCCCAUUAGAUAGUUGGCGGGGUAACGGCCCACCAAGUCAGCGAUGGGUAGCUGGUGUGAGAGCACGACCAGCCACACGGGCACUGAGACACGGGCCCGACUCCUACGGGAGGCAGCAGUGAGGAAUAUUGGUCAAUGGACGCAAGUCUGAACCAGCCAUGCCGCGUGGAGGAUGACAGCCUUCUGGGUUGUAAACUUCUUUUAUAUGGGAAGAAAAGUACGGUAUCUACUGUAUCCGACGGUACCAUAUGAAUAAGCACCGGCUAACUCCGUGCCAGCAGCCGCGGUAAUACGGAGGGUGAC
rnacentral:rRNA from 1 species